rnacentral:rRNA from 1 species
GACUAACGCUGGCGGCGUGCCUAACACAUGCAAGUCGAACGAGUUGUUUAUAGUAGCAAUAUUGUGAACAGCAAGUGGCGAACGGGUGAGUAACACGUAGAUAAUCUGCCUUUCAGACGGGGGACAACUCAGGGAAACUUGUGCUAAUACCCGAUGAGACUACGGGAGGGGACUUUCGUAGCCAAAGGUGGGGGCAACCUCACGCUGAAAGAUGAGUCUGCGUCCUAUCAGCUAGUUGGUGGGGUAAAAGCCUACCAAGGCGAAGACGGGUAGCCGGCCUGAGAGGGUGAACGGCCACACUGGGACUGAGACACGGCCCAGACUCCUACGGGAGGCAGCAGUGAGGAAUUUUCCGCAAUGGGCGCAAGCCUGACGGAGCGACGCCGCGUGAGGGAUGACGGCCUUCGGGUUGUAAACCUCUUUUAUUAGGGAAAAAGGCAAUCGUGCUAAUACCACGGUUGUUUGAUGUUACCUGUUGAAUAAGCCCCGGCUAACUACGUG